UACGGAGGGGGCAAGCGUUAUUCGGAAUUACUGGGCGUAAAGCGCACGUAGGCGGCGAUGCAAGUCGAAGGUGAAAGCCCUCGGCUCAACCGAGGAACUGCCUUCGAAACUGCGUCGCUUGAGUCCGGGAGGGGGGAGCGGAAUUCCCAGUGUAGCGGUGAAAUGCGUAGAUACUGGGAGGAACACCGGUGGCGAAGGCGGCUCCCUGGACCGGUACUGACGCUGAGGUGCGAAAGCGUGGGUAGCAAACAGG
rnacentral:rRNA from 1 species